rnacentral:tRNA from 1 species
GGGGAUAUAGUUAAAAAUAACAUCUAAUUUGCAAUUAGAAGGUACUGUAUAGUUAUUCUCG